UUAAGCUAAGAAGAGCGUAGGGAGAAUGCCUUGGCAUUAGGAGCCGAUGAAGGACGUGAUAAGCUGCGAUAAGCUGCGGGGAUCAGCAAGUAUGAAUUGAUCCGCAGAUUUCCGAAUGGAGCAAUCCGUAUGUGUAUGCACAUACAUCAUAUACUGAAUCAAAUAGGUAUAUGAGGGGAACCGCCUGAACUGAAACAUCUAAGUAGGGCGAGGAAGAGAAAUCAACCGAGAUUCUGUGAGUAGUGGCGAGCGAAAGCGGAAGAGGCUAAACCAUAGGUAGCAAUACUUAUGGGGUUUCGGACAGCAUUUAGUAUUGAUAAUUUCUAGUUGAAACGUGUGGGAAAACGUACCGAAGAGUGUGAGAGUCACGUAAGCGAAAGAGAAAGUCAGCGAGCUGUAUCCAAAGUACCGCGGGACACGUGAAACCCCGUGGGAAGAUGGGGGGACCAUCCUCCAAGCCUAAAUACUACCUAAUGACCGAUAGCGAAUAGUACUGUGAAGGAACGGUGAAAAGAACCCCGGGAGGGGAGUGAAAAAGAACCUGAAACCCUAUGCUUACAAGCACCGAGAGCACGUCAAAGUGUGAUCGGGUACCUUUUGUAGAAUGGUCCGGCGAGUUAUUGUAUGCGGCAAGGUUAAGUGCUUAAGGCACGGAGCCGAAGCGAGAGCAAGUCUGAAUAGGGCGAAAAAGUCGUAUGCAAUAGACCCGAAACCGAGUGACCUAUCCAUGUCCAGGCUGAAGUGGAGGUAAAACUCCAUGGAGGGCCGAACACACGUCCGUUGAAAAGGCCGGUGAUGAGGUGUGGAUAGCGGAGAAAUUCCAAUCGAACUCGGAUAUAGCUGGUUCUCUCCGAAAUAGCUUUAGGGCUAGCCUCGUGAAAGAUUACUGGAGGUAAAGCACUGAAUGGGCUAGGGGUCGAAAGAUUACUGAACCCUAUCAAACUAAGAAUGCCAGAUAAUUGAUUCACGGGAGUCAGACAAUGUGAGAUAAGUCUCAUUGUCAAAAGGGAAACAGCCCAGACCCACAGCUAAGGUCCCUAAACAUUGUUAAGUGGAAAAGGAUGUGGGGUUGCAUAAACAACCAGGAUGUUGGCUUAGAAGCAGCCACUCAUUAAAAGAGUGCGUAAUAGCUCACUGGUCGAGUGACUCUGCGCCGAAAAUUUAACGGGGCUAAACUAUACACCGAAGCUUGGGAUACAUCUAAUGUAUGGUAGGAGAGCGUUCUGUAUGGGGAGAAGUCGUAGCGAAAGCGGCGGUGGACUAUACAGAAGUGAGAAUGCCGGAAUAAGUAGCGAGAAUUAAGUGAGAAUCUUAAUGGCCGAAAGUCUAAGGUUUUUGGAGGAAGGUUCGUCCGCUCCAAGUAAGUCGGGAGCUAAGGUCAGGCCGAAAGGCGUAGCCGAUGCACAUACGGUUGAUAUUCCGUAACCAUCUGUAAUUUAAGCAAAGGGACACUUCAAAAGGGUGUGACCCGGGCGUUGGUUGACCCGGGCGUAAGGGACCGAAAUUAGAGUAGGGAAGCACACUUGGCUGAAGGCGAGAAAAGCUUUGCGUAUAGAAGCAGAUGCCCGUACCGCAAACCGACACAGGUGGACAGGAAGAGAAUUCUAAGGCCAGCGGGAGAAGGGUAGUUAAGGAACUCGGCAAAUUGACUCCGUAACUUCGGAAUAAGGAGUGCUCGAAAGAGCCGCAGAGAAUAGGCCCAGGCGACUGUUUAGCAAAAACACAGGUCUCUGCCAAAUCGAAAGAUGAAGUAUAGGGGCUGACACCUGCCCGGUGCCGGAAGGUUAAGAGGAGGAGUGAGAGCUCCGAAUUGAAGCCCCGGUAAACGGCGGCCGUAACUAUAACGGUCCUAAGGUAGCGAAAUUCCUUGUCGGGU
rnacentral:rRNA from 1 species